GAGACGUGCCUGCGGGGGCGUGUGCGAGACGGCGGAUGCGGAGUGAGACCGUCCGGUGGGGUGGGGGUGUGCCUGGCAAUCCUUCCCGACCCUCUUCAGCUCCGGGCCACCCCUACCCGCCUUUCUCCCCGCCCCCCUCCAUUUCCCACGAGCCUAGGUGAACUCUGAGCUGCCAGCUGUGGAGGGAGACUGAGGCAGGCGAGGAGGCGAGGGAGCUGGUGAGGUCCGCAGCCCUCCCCGCCCUGUGAACCUCAGGGUGUGGGAGCAAAGUUCUGGUGGCUGGACUUGGAGCUCGCAAAGGGGCAGCCCUCCCUCUGGUGGUCCCUGGCACAAGCUGGGCGUAUUGUGAAUGUAGAAGGAGAGGAUGGGUUGGCCACUAUGGUCCUGGAUAGAGAAGCCAGAAAGGAAAUUUGAUUGCAGGAGCCCACUCCAUCGUAACAGCUGUCACCACCUGCUCCUUGAGAAGAAUGAAAUCCUGGCCAUGGCCCCCUUUAUCAGCUCAGGCCUCCUUGAGGAUUGCCCCCCAUUUUCAUCAAGCAGGUCUCAGCUGGGAAGAGCUAUCCAGACAGUCCUCAUCACCUGUAGGUGGUCCCCCUGGAGGCUAGGGACCUGGAACCCUCUUCUUUGCCUCCGGAAAGUGACAUUUUUUGAAGUAUGGAGUCAUUGGCUUGAUUUUUCUGAGCUUGGGGGCAAGGGAGUGUACUCCCUGGGCCUUACUCUAUCCCCAGAUUUGAA